UACGAAGGGGGCUAGCGUUGCUCGGAAUCACUGGGCGUAAAGCGCACGUAGGCGGACUCUUAAGUCGGUGGUGAAAUCCUGGAGCUCAACUCCAGAACUGCCUUCGAUACUGAGAGUCUCGAGUCCGGGAGAGGUGAGUGGAACUGCGAGUGUAGAGGUGAAAUUCGUAGAUAUUCGCAAGAACACCAGUGGCGAAGGCGGCUCACUGGCCCGGUACUGACGCUGAGGUGCGAAGGCGUGGGUAGCAAACAGG
rnacentral:rRNA from 1 species